CAACAUUCUAUCAUUUAAAAUCUUUGAUUUAUUCAAAACAAUAAAUAAUAGUAAUUUUUACCAACCUUAGCUCCAGGAUAUGAUUAUUCCUUGACCGACCUAUUAAUAUCCGCAAAAGAAGUUUCUCGGUAAAAACAUUAAACUUUGUCAUGAGAAUAGACAAUUAUACUUUACUGCGACCGUUCAUCCUUAGUGCAUUCAGUAAAUGAGUCCGCCUUUUACAAAUUGCAGCCCGCGAUUUGUAAAACACGGACUCAGUCCGCGUUUUACAAAUCUUAGUUCACGAUUUGUAAAACACGGACUCAGUCCGUGUUUUCCCGGUCCAGUCCAGUCCAGUCCGUGUUUUACAAAUUCAGUCCGCGAUUUGUAAAACACGGACUCAGUCCGCGUUUUCCCAGUCUGGUCCAGUCCAGUCCGUCUUUUACAACAACGGCUGAAUUUAAAUUAAAACUGCAGUAAAAUUAGAAAAUAAUCGCAAAUUAGCGAAAUAUAUUGCAAAUGUAGCUUAUAUUACAGUGAAAAUACAAAAAGUGUCCCACUUCCGCUUCUGUAGUUCGUUGUGAUUUACUGUAAUUUGUUCUGUUUUUCUGUAGCGAUUACCGAUUUAUCGGCAAAUACCGCGAUAAAACUUAGUUUUCUCUACUUUUUAAAUAUGAUAAUUUGUAGUAAAGGGAAAUAAUUGAUUUUUCGUUAGUUUCAUUGCAUAAAAGGUACGAAAUUUAAAUUUUAUCGCAGUACUUGCCGAUAAAUCGGUAAUCGCUACAGAAAAACAGAACAAAUUACAGUAAAUCACAACAAACUACAGAAGCGGAAGUGGGACACUUUUUGUAUUUUCACUGUAAAUCGCCAUCAGAUUGCACUAUCGACUGACGUAUAAUUAUAAAGUAUACUUUAUAAUUAUACGUCAGUUUGUUGAUAAAUACGGCAAGCGCCAUGUAAAGCUCAUUGUAGUCACUGAAACCU